rnacentral:rRNA from 1 species
AUACGUAGGGGGCAAGCGUUGUCCGGAUUUAUUGGGCGUAAAGAGCGUGUAGGCGGCCUGGUAGGUCAGCUGUGAAAACUUGAGGCUCAACCUCGAGACGUCGGUUGAAACCACCUGGCUAGAGUCCGGAAGAGGAGAGUGGAAUUCCCGGUGUAGCGGUGAAAUGCGCAGAUAUCGGGAAGAACACCCGUGGCGAAGGCGGCUCUCUGGGACGGUACUGACGCUGAGACGCGAAAGCGGGGGGAGCGAACAGGAUUAGAUCCCCUGGUAGUCCACGCCGUAAACGAUGGGUGCUAGGUGUGGGGGGUGUCGACUCCCUCCGUGCCGAAGCUAACGCAUUAAGCACCCCGCCUGGGGAGUACGGCCGCAAGGCUAAAACUCAAAUGAAUUGGCGGGG